rnacentral:lncRNA from 1 species
GGUCACAACCUCUGCAUUCAGUGAUGCUUUUAUUAUAUUAAUAUAUAUUAUAUUAUAUAUCAUUUUACAUAUUGAUAUAUAUUAUUCUAUUACAUUAAUCACAGCAGUGUCUUGAUACAUUUGGAAACUGGGAGACAUGAUUUACCCUUUCUAUACAGAAUGCUCGGCUCCCAGCUCCCAUGCAAGUCCUCCAACCCCCUCGCCACUUCCGAGUUUGCCAUCCACAGGGGAAAGGGCAAGGCUGGAUGUUGCCUGAGAUUCCUUUCAACUCCAGGCUUGGCAUCGUGCUUGAGCUACACCUAGGUGUGCAGAACUUCUGAGGAACCUCUAAGAACAAAUCCCAUUUCUGGGCUACCAGGUCUUCCACCUUUUGGCUUUACCCCAGGUAGCCCCUGGCGCCACUCCAGCCAGCCUCACUGCAGCCCCAUGUUUGCUUGCUCAGAAACCCCUUCUGCCUGAAACAGCCUGCCCCUUGAUGUUCUCCCAACUUGCUGUCUCUUCUAAACCCACCACAAAUCCAGCCUGCCUUGAAUAGUUUCCUGCCUUGAAGAUCCACCCACUGCAUCAUUACAUUCUAAGAAACACAACCAACCUCUGUAUGUAUAUAAAUUGUCUAGGCAAUUGUGUUAUCUAUGUAUUACUCAGAUGAUUUACUUAUCAGCACUUUAUUCUCACUAUUAGAUGCAUGCCCUGUAAUGUACCAGUGGAAAGAAUGGUAAGGAGGGAAAGAAAAGCAGAAUGGAAUGUGGGUUUUCUAACAUACUGUUGUGUUAUCUAGGCUGCCAUACGUGGGCAGAUGCCUCCGUCUGUGGUGUGUGAAGUUGGUUUUGGUUUCACUGAUAACACACUCUAUGCAAGUUUGAUUGGUGAACAGUAGUGUCAUUAACAGUUUCAUAAGUCAGUUGCUCCAGGAAGUUUAUGGUAUACAAAUAUUAACAACUACUGGAGAUUUUUCUUAGAAGACUGUAAAAUUCUACGAUUAUUGCCAGGAAAGAAACACUUUAAAUUCCUUUAUUUCACUCUGUAAUGCAUAUUCUCAAAUAGGAAGGAGUAAACUUUAUAAUUUCAAGUUUAAAUAUUUUUUGCUUGGGAAAUUAAAACGGUCCCAAUUUAUAAUUUAUUUCACAUCACAGUUUACGGAUCACUGAAUAGAAUGUUAAUUCAUUCUCAGAAUGGCAAACAUCCUGUCUUAAGGGAGUGAUGGAAAAACAAAAGGCCAUGCCAAGUUCACCAUAAUAUGUAUAACUGGUCUACAGUGAUGUUGUGUUCUUAACUAGCGUGACAUGCCAAAAAUGAGGGCUUACUUUGGAAAAUUGCAAAAUCCUAUACAUGCAAUACUGACUGUGUUCAUUUCAUUACAUUUUAUAAAACUAUCUGUUGGCAAUUGUGUGUCAAAAUGGGUUGUCAAAUC